rnacentral:lncRNA from 1 species
CAUUUAAAAUCAUACUUGAACCAGAAGUACUUCUUAAGUUAUUAAAUGAUACAUAGUGUGAUUUGGUCAUAACAAGCAAGGUAUAUAUAUAUAGAGUCUUAUACAUAAUCAUAUAAAAAUAGAUACCACGGAAACAAAUAGUUGAGUCAACAGAUUUUUUUUAUCUUUUUCCAUACAAAGGGUUUAUAUUUGUUAAAAUUAGAAAAGAGAAAUCCUUUAUUUUUGCAACCCGAUCACUCUUUUGACUUGGGAAUCUAUUCUAUUUAUCAAUAUACUGUUUCUUUUACAUAUCUAUCUCCAUUCUAUAAAAGGAAAAAUAGUUAGGAUUCAAAAAAAAGAUAAUUCACUCAAAAAGGAAUCCUUUACCGAAUCAGUCACUAAUUCAUUUUUAACAUCUAAUUAGGUCAGGUAAUCAUUCAAAUUAAGAAUAUAAGUUCGUUGCCUUUUGUUUUCCUUAAAUUUGAGCUUAGUACUCUAUCCAUCUAUUCACUCGACCUAAUGGUAAAUGCAAAUUUUUUACCUUUACUAAAA